UGCCCCAGAAAACCCAUUUACCUGGGCAGCACAAGUUCCCGUUUUGUUAGGGACCACGCCAUGAAGGUUCCGAACGCUAGGAGUUCAUCCUCAGUUGGUGGGCCACUAUUUCAAUGGCUUUCGAAAAAAUCAGCAGGCUAAAGAAUAAGAAGAUAGUAUCAGACUUAACCACUAGACGGUAAUUUAUGGUCUUCAAGGAAGCAGCCUGGAGACUUUGGCAGUGACCCCCGAACUGGAAUCAGAAUUCCCUGUGGAGUUUCUAAUAGUGAAGCCUGUGUCCUUCCACCAGAAAUUGUGACUCACUGGACAGGGUGUGACCUGGGCCUUGGAAGCUUUAAAAGAUACUCAGGUAGUUUUGAUGCACAGACAUGUUUGGAAAUCACUGGGGUUGUGGGAUAUUUGAUAUGGAUAAAGUGGAGGUAGUGAGUAUAGACCACCCUUCCCAAGGCUUGGCAGUGAAGGGACAAAGGCGUACAGAAGCUCAAGUAGGUAGGAAGGUGCCCGGAAGGUAAGGGUUGGCUGGUUUGUUUAAAAGAUGGGGAAACUUGGGAAUCCUGCCAGCUAAAGGGAAGAAUUCAGGGACCAGUAGAGACUGAAGCUGAUAGAGUGAGAAGUUUCUAGAAUAAUCCUGGAGGCGAUAGAUCAAUGGCACCAGUGAAGGGGUUUAUCUUAGGAGGCGGGAAAAAGUGUUCUUUGCACUGUUCUCUUUGCUUAGAAUGACUCAUCCCUUCAAAGCCUCGCUCUGAGCAGGCCCCACAAUGGAAAGAAUCAUCCCAUAUUCUCAGAGUACUUUUAGGAUUUCUCGUAUCAGGAGAGUGAUGUAGUAAUUGCAACAGUCAUUUUUGGAAAGGUCUUUCUCCCUGCAGGCAGGACCAUGCCUUCUGCAACUUUGUGACCCCUUUGCAAGCCCUGUGUGGUUCCUGGAAAAUAAGUAUUUCACCAGGUACUGGAUAAAUCAACAUACCGCCCCUGACUUGAAUGUCACCUUGACCGUAUGUGUCAUGAACAGCUGGGCCAUUUGAGCUUCUUUGUCUGGUCUGGUGCUGGCAUUGCUGUUUUUUGGAGAGCUUACCAAGCCUAAGUUCUGGGAUCGACUUCAGAGCCUCUGGGACUCCUGUUAAGAAUCCGUGAGUAGGGGAUAGGAUGAGACCGAUAAACAAUGCAGGGUUGAAGACACAGUCACCGCGCCAGUGAACGGAGCUGGGAAAAAGCGCAUCUGCGGGGGCUGCUGUUGUCUUUCUGUCCACCCUUAUCUCUCAGGGUGCUUGCUCGGCAUUUCCUGCAUCUCUGCGCUCUCCCCAGCUGGGCUCGGCGGCCUCAUUUACAACACUUUUGAUAAGAGCCCUCAGGCCGAGAAAGGUUCUGGGAAAAGGGAUUCCGCCUCCAAAAGCAUUUAGUUGACUGGCAGGCCCCUUACCCGAGUUUCCACCUGCACAGGUGCCCUGGCAGCGCCUCCAAGUGCCAUUUCUGCAACCUUCAAACUUGUAAGAUUUUCUUUUCUUUCACAUUCCAGAUAUGUUGGUUUAAUAGCUAUCUCCUAUUAAAAAUCUAUCCCAUCUUUAGCUUUAUCAUAGCUUACUGCUUAACGAGCAGGAUUUAGGGAUAACUGGUCCGCUGUUGAGCAACCGAACAUUCUCUGUCCUUAUUGAGAAAGUGGUUAAGAACAACACGCAUCUGCUUUUGAUUCCUGAAUCAGAUUCCUAAUCCCCGCAUUAGGCUACAGGAAGCAAAACGCCCAACUACAGGGACAUAAAGGGACUUACUUUCCUCACAUAACACCAAGCCACAAAGGUGAAGGGGCAUCUCCCCCACACGCUGUGAAAGGCCCAGACUCUCAUCUUUCUCCACUAUCUCCAGCCAUGAGAUUCACUCCCAUGGUAGCAAGGUGGCUGCCGUAGCUCAAAUAACAAUGCCUGCGACCCCAGUGUGAACGAAGGGGACCUUGCAGAUGAGGCUGCCACUGUUCAGUCUUCUCAGAAGCUUCCCCCAAGUUCUCUGAGUAGAGACCACUGGCCGGACCUGCGUCAUGUGGCCGCCCUCUAAGCAGGGGAGGUGGAGGACUGUGCAUCCUGACUGGGGGCACCGUCACCCAGAACCAGACCUGAGCUCUAUUAGUAGGAAAGUAGGGAGAAUGCCAGUUCCUUAGCCAGAGGACGUGUGCAGCCU